GUGACAUGCCUGGGCAUCUGGGUGUGUGGAAAGUUUUUCGGUUGGGGAUGGGCUCGCGGCCUAUCAGCUUGUUGGUGGGGUGAUGGCCUACCAAGGCGACGACGGGUAGCCGGCCUGAGAGGGCGACCGGCCACACUGGGACUGAGACACGGCCCAGACUCCUACGGGAGGCAGCAGUGGGGAAUAUUGCGCAAUGGGCGAAAGCCUGACGCAGCGACGCCGCGUGGGGGAUGAAGGCCUUCGGGUUGUAAACCUCUUUCAGCAGGGAAGAAGCGAGAGUGACGGUACCUGCAGAAGAAGCACCGGCUAACUACGUGCCAGCAGCCGCGGUAAUACGUAGGGUGCAAGCGUUGUCCGGAUUUAUUGGGCGUAAAGAGCUCGUAGGCGGUUUGUCGCGUCUGCUGUGAAAACUCGGGGCUUAACUCCGGGCCUGCAGUGGGUACGGGCAGACUAGAGUGCGGUAGGGGAGACUGGAAUUCCUGGUGUAGCGGUGAAAUGCGCAGAUAUCAGGAGGAACACCGGUGGCGAAGGCGGGUCUCUGGGCCGUAACUGACGCUGAGGAGCGAAAGCGUGGGGAGCGAACAGGAUUAGAUACCCUGGUAGUCCACGCCGUAAACGUUGGGCGCUAGGUGUGGGGCUCUUUCCACGAGUUCCGUGCCGCAGCAAACGCAUUAAGCGCCCCGCCUGGGGAGUACGGCCGCAAGGCUAAAACUCAAAGGAAUUGACGGGGGCCCGCACAAGCGGCGGAGCAUGCGGAUUAAUUCGAUGCAACGCGAAGAACCUUACCAAGGCUUGACAUGGGCGGUAAUCCGGCAGAGAUGUCGGGUCCGUAAGGGCCGUUCACAGGUGGUGCAUGGUUGUCGUCAGCUCGUGUCGUGAGAUGUUGGGUUAAGUCCCGCAACGAGCGCAACCCUCGUUCUAUGUUGCCAGCACGUUAUGGUGGGGACUCAUAGGAGACUGCCGGGGUCAACUCGGAGGAAGGUGGGGAUGACGUCAAAUCAUCAUGCCCCUUAUGUCUUGGGCUUCACGCAUGCUACAAUGGCCAGUACAAAGGGCUGCGAGACCGUGAGGUGGAGCGAAUCCCAAAAAGCUGGUCUCAGUUCGGAUCGGGGUCUGCAACUCGACCCCGUGAAGUCGGAGUCGCUAGUAAUCGCAGAUCAGCAACGCUGCGGUGAAUACGUUCCCGGGCCUUGUACACACCGCCCGUCACGUCACGAAAGUCGGUAACACCCGAAGCCGGUGGCCUAACCC
rnacentral:rRNA from 1 species